AUGACUCCAUUUUGCUCUUACCGUCCUUUCGGCAGAAACUCAAACAGGAUGUACCCGUGACUAGAACUAUUCAACGCUGAUCUGUCCAAUCAUUUUAAGAUUGUUUUGAUCACCUGGACUGGGAAAUAUUCCAGGCAGCCUCAGAGAAUAACAUCGAUUUAUAUGCUGAUUUGCCGACUGCGAGCCAAGCCUAAUCGCCCAACCUCACUAAUGCUCUUGUGGCUGAAUGGAAGCAAGUCCCUGCAGCAAUGUUCCAACAUCUAGCGGAAAGCCUUCCCAGAAGAGUGGAUGCUGUUAUAGCAGUGAAGGGGUGACCAACUCCAUAUUAAUGCCCAUGAUUUUGGAAUCAGAUAUUCAGCAAGCAGGUUUCCACAUACUUUUGGUCAUGUAGUGUAUGUCUGAAUGCCAAGUCAUGUUCAUAUAAUCUCAGACAAAUUACUGCAGUUUAAGACCAUCCAUAGAACAUCCUAUACCAGUGAAACUGAAAAUAUGCUCUCAAAAACGUAGUUCCACUGCUGGAAGUGUAAAAAAAGAAAAGGGGAUACAUUUGCAUAUGCUAUGAUCUUGUGAAGGCUGGCUGAAUUCUGGCAAAGGAUAUGUUCUUUUUUCUCAGCACGUCUACAGAUUCUCCCUUCUCCCUGUUUUUGUUUGCUUGGAAAUGUAGAUACUAGAGACUGUUAUCAGAAGAAACUGUGUAACCUAGCAUUUAUAGUGGCUAAGAAAAGCAUGGCCAUUAAUUGGAAGGUUGGUUAUGCUCCCACAAUAUCACAAUGGAUGGAAGAAAUGUCAAGUUAUGUAUCACUAGAUUUGAUUUAUUACAAGAUUAAGAGUAUACUGUGCAACUUUCUUAAGGUCUGGGUGCGUUAUAUUGAAUAGCCUACUAUAUGACAAAAAGGGACUGUAUUGAAAAACAUUUUUUUGUCGAGCAGUCGCAAAUAAAACAUUUUGUUUCAUG